UGCCAUCGCUAAGUCAAGGCUUCUUCCCGUGCAUAUUUUUUUUGCCACCUCUCUAUGGAAGUAUUUUGUCUGUUACAGCUUUGGUAGAUGGAUUCUAGCCCGCCGCCUUGGUUUCUUUCUGAAACUAGGGUUGACUAGCGAUCGUUUUGAGAGCUUUGUCGUAUAGGGCUUGCUGUGUCUUGUUUUGAGUUGAGUUCUGCUUCCACUUCAUUUUUGUGGCAUCAUAGCAGUUCUCUUAGUAACAUCUCACACAUUC
rnacentral:snoRNA from 1 species